rnacentral:rRNA from 1 species
AUGGCGCUAAGCGUCGCGCGAUCCCUGGUGGGGAGUGCCGUAAACAAGGCGGCCUCCGAGGCCAUGGAUGAGAUGGCAUUGCUCAUGGGAGUGAGGAAUGAAAUAUGGUACAUCAAAGACGAGCUAAGAAUAAUGCAAGCUUUCUUGAGAACUGCUGAAAGGAUGAAGGAUAGAUAUGAGCUUGUCAAAGUUUGGGCGGAGCAAGUAGAGGACCUAUCCUAUGACAUUAAACAUUGCUUGGAUGAGUUCCAGUUUAAUUUGGGACACCCAGGUUGCUUGCAACGGCUGACGAAGCUUAGAGACCGCCAUCAAAUUGCUGUCCAGAUUCACAGCCUGAAAGUAAGAGUUGGAGAAGUAAGUAACAGGAUCCAACGCUACAGUCAUUUAAUGAAGCCCGUUACCCCUAGCAGCAUGGAUGACAGGAGAUUUUACAAGGAUAAGGCCAGUUCUGACAUGGAAGGCAUCCAUAGUUAUUCCCAUAGUCUUGAUGAAGCGGAACUUGUGGGCUUUUCAAAGCCUAAACAGGAGUUGAUUAUGCUGAUGGAUGUCAACGCCAAACAUGGUCCAGCCAAUGUGAUAUGUGCUGUUGGCAUGUGUGGAGUAGGCAAGACUACUCUUGCAACCAAGAUUGAGCUUCUUAAAGAUAUGAUCAAAAAACUUUUCAGUGAUGAAGCAUUGAUGAAGCAACUUGAAGGGAAGGUGAUGCGAGAAGAGGACCUCGCCCAUUACCUGAGGAUAGAGCUACUUGAGAAGAGGUACUUUGUUGUUCUUGAUGACUUAUGGAACAUAGAUGAUUGGAUUUGGAUCAAAUCUAUUGUUUUUCCUCUUAGUAACAACAAAGGUAGCCGGAUAAUAGUAACGACACAAGAUGUUGACUUAGCCGAGAAGUGUAAUUUGGAAUCUUCCAGAUCACUUAUCUACCACCAUCAAUCCCUAGGAACAAUUGAUGCCAUGAGGUUACUGCUAAGGAAGAUGAGGAGAAGUGAGGAAGACAUGAAAAAUGAUAAGGACAUGAGGGAAAUAGUUAUUAAGAUAGUUAAAAAAUCUGGACGGUUACCCCUAGUUGUACUCACACUAGGAGGCAUGCUUUCCACCAUAGUGGCUAGUGAGUGGCAAAGUAUUUAUAACCAGCUCCCCUUGGAGCUAGAGAGCAACCAAAGCCUUGAAGCAAUAAAGAAGAUGAUUAUCCUGAGCUACAACCACUUGCCUUCUCAUCUUAAGCCAUGUUUCCUAUACCUAAGCAUCUUCCCCAGGAAUGUUGAGAUCCAAAUAAGGCAUUUGAUAAAUAGAUGGAUAACAGAGGGAUUUGUUACAUCUAGGGUUGGAAUGGACAUUGAGGCUGUCGCGAUGAGCUAUUUUUAUGAUUUAGUUAAUAGAGGUACAAUUCAACCGUCAAGAGUAAAUGUAGAAGGAAGGGUUAAGAGUUGUCGAGUCCAUGGUGUCAUCUCUGAUAUCUUGGAAUCCAUUUCAAGAGAUGAAAAUUUUGUAUACCUUACAAGUGAUAUUGUAAGAAGAGCACCAGAGGAAAACUUUCACCAUGUAGUACACCAUGGUCUGAAUUGCCCGAAUAUUAGCAUGGAUUGGAGUCAUGUUCGAUCCUUUACUUUGUUUGGCAUGCUUCCCAUGGAGCCAGUAUGUUCAGCCUACCUGAGGAUGCUAAGUGUCUUGGAUCUUCAAGAUGCACGAUGCAGUAUCACGCAGAAAGAUAUCAACAACAUAGGGUUGUUGCGCCGCUUGAAAUAUCUGAAUGUUCGAGGACAUUCAGAUAUCUGUGCACUUCCAGGAUCCAUAGGGAAACUACAUGGCUUACAAUAUUUGGAUGCAAGAAACAGUUCCAUCACAUCAUUACCCACUGAGAUUAGUAAACUGCAUAGUCUCAUUAGUCUCCGUUGUAGCAGCGGAAAAAUUGAUCUAGAUGGUCCACAGGAAGGCUUGGCGCACAUAUUGUGCCUGCCCAUGGUAUUCACACUUUCUGGUAAAUCUGGUAUCCGAGCUGAGUCAAGAGGUCUGAGGGUGCCAAGAGGGAUCGGUGAGUUGCAAGAGUUACGGACCUUAGAUGUUGUUGACAUCAGAAGAACUAGUAGAAGAGCAAUUAAAGAGCUGGGGGAGCUUAUGCAGCUAAGGAAACUAAGUGUGGUAAUAGCACGGGCAUCCAAGCAAAAAUGUAAGAUACUUUGUGCAGCCAUUGAGAAGCUAUCUUCCCUCUCUUCUCUUGGUGUAGAUGCUGGCGGAAGCUCUCUUGAGUGGAUGCAUUAUGGUUCAUCUCCUCCGCCCCUCCUGAGCUCCCUUAAGUUGGUUGGAUGUCUUGGAGAGGUGCCAGACUGGUUUGGAAGUUUGAUGCAUUUGGUGAAGAUUUACCUAGUGGGAAGCCAACUGAAGGGAGAUAAAACCAUGGAAUUGCUAGGGACACUGCCCAGCCUCAUGCACAUUGGUCUUCAUCGGAAUGCUUAUGCUGGAGAGAAGCUAGUCUUCGCAUGUGGAGCAUUCAUAUGUCUCAGGAAACUGGAUUUUUAUGGAAGUAGUGGACUGAGAGAGGUGAGAUUUGAGGAGGGCACCUCGCCCCACUUGGAAAAGAUGGAAUUCGGCCUUUGCAGGUUGGAAUCAGGGAUUAUUGGUAUCAAGUACCUUCCAAGACUCAAGGAGAUUUCACUUGGUUACGCCGUUAAAGUGGUGAGGCUUUAUGCGCUGCAAAAUGAGGUAGAUGCGCACCCCAACCAUCCCAUGCUGCGACUAUCUGAAGGCAGGAGGGACCAUGACCUGGAGGACAUCAUCACAGAAUUAUCAUCGUCGGAGGAAUCAUCUCCACUUCGAGAGCUUUUAGAAGUGGGAGAAAGCUCCUCGCAGGUGGUGGUCAUGACGGCACGGAGCGACAGGAGGUGUUGCUCGUUUCCAUUUUGCUGCUUCCUCUUGGAAUAUUGCCACCAUCUUCUACACCCUGUUGGUACAACUCAAACCACGUAUUUCAGAUGGGUGGGGAGAAGACGCGGAAAGUACAAUGCACGCGGGAUGCUGCUUUCCAAGUCCGACGGUGGUGGCCUUUGUAUGCCGCAAAGUGAAGCUGAUAUACAAACUGAUGUUCCUGCGCUGCCGAAGUCAGAGUACUGCAGUGAUCUUGGGAGUCCCAGUGUAACAGAGGAGACGAAACGUAUGAUACGACGCCAUUUUGAGAUCUCACAAAGGGUUCACAAGUGGCAACUGGUGGCCGAGAUGACAAUCGGUUCUUGGGGAGCACAAUGGAAUGGAUCAACCUGA